ACGCUCGACACCUACGGGAGGUAGCAGUGGGGAAUAUUGCACAAUGGGGGAAACCCUGAUGCAGCGACGCCGCGUGGAGGAAGAAGGUCUUCGGAUUGUAAACUCCUGUUGUUGGGGAAAAAGAGGAUGGUACCCAACAAGGAAGUGACGGCUAACUACGUGGCAGCAGCCGCGGUAAUCUGAGCGGGCUGGCAAGGC
rnacentral:rRNA from 1 species